rnacentral:rRNA from 1 species
UACGAAGGGGGCUAGCGUUGCUCGGAAUCACUGGGCGUAAAGCGCACGUAGGCGGACUCUUAAGUCAGGGGUGAAAUCCUGGAGCUCAACUCCAGAACUGCCUUUGAUACUGAGAGCCUUGAGUUCGGGAGAGGUGAGUGGAACUGCGAGUGUAGAGGUGAAAUUCGUAGAUAUUCGCAAAGAACACCAGUGGCGAAGGCGGCUCACUGGCCCCGAUACUGACGCUGAGGUGCGAAAGCGUGGGAGCAACAGGG